CCCUAGCCCUGAUGGGAGCGGCAUCCUUUUAUGCCGGUGUUCGGCAUAAAAGAUACAGUGGACAGCAGGAAAUAGC
rnacentral:sRNA from 1 species